rnacentral:lncRNA from 1 species
CGACGAUUUUUGCUUACGUGGAAUUAACGAGUCCCACGUUCUUUUCAUCUUUAUUUCCUCGUUAUCUUACGAGGAUUAUGUUUAAAUCCCUAAAAUCCGAAACCCCAAACCCUAUCUUCCUUAUCUUCUACUUCAUAUAUUCCAAACCUCAAACCCAUCUUCCCUUUAACCUCAAUCUAUUCUUUCCAUUCCAAACCCUAAAUUCUAAAACCACAAUUCCUUAACUUAUAAUCUCAAUCUCUUAU